rnacentral:rRNA from 1 species
UUGAAAGGGAAACGAUUGAAGUCAGUCAUGCUGGUGGGAAUCAACUUAGGGGAAACUCUGGGUGCACUUCUUCGCUUGGCAGGUCAACGUCGAUUUUGAAUGUCAUAAAAUAAUUGGGGAAGGUAGCUCCUUCGGGAGUGUUAUAGCCCUUGAUAGAUGUGAUGUUUGAGGUCGAGGAUUGCAACGGAUACCCUUUGGGGCUAGCUGCCUGAUCUCUAAUUGGUGUUGGGUUACGGAUAGCAUGCAUUACUGGUUAAAAGGUUAGAGUAUGCAUAAAUUCGUUAAGGAUGUUGACGUA